rnacentral:rRNA from 1 species
CAAUAGCGUAUAUUAAAGUUGUUGCAGUUAAAAAGCUCGUAGUUGGAUUUCUGGGAGGGUGCCAAUGUCCGCCGACGUGCGUGCGCAGCGGCGCCCUUCCAUCCUUCUGUUAACGCCUCUUGGCAUUCAUUUGCUGGUGGCGGGCUCAGAUAUUUUACCUUGAGAAAAUUAGAGUGUUUCAGGCAGGCUAGGCCGGAAUACAUUAGCAUGGAAUAAUGGAAUAGGACUACGGUCUCUUUGUUGGUUUGAGGGACUGCAGUAAUGAUUAAUAGGGAUAGUUGGGGGCAUUAGUAUUUAAUUGUCAGAGGUGGAAUUCUCGGAUUUGUUAAAGACUAACUUAUGCGAANGNAUUUGCNAAGGAUGUUUNCAUUA